ACUUUAUAUAACUUAGAACCAUAAAGCUAGACGACAGAAACAGUGAGAAGUACGAAUUCACUAGGGGUGGAGCAUGUAUUCCAAAAGAGGGUGGAACAGAAGGAAAGGGAGCUUCUCUCAUCCCCAUCCACAGAAGCUAUCUACUAGAUUGUGAGCUCCUUAAGGUGUUGGAAGUGGAGUCUCCAAGAGAGAGGCCAAGAGAGUGAGUUUUGAGAAUCCAAGAGUUGGAACCCAGGUCAGGUUUUGCAGCCAAUGUAGCACUGAUCCCCCAAGGAACCUAGAAUGACCUUCAGAAGUGACCUUUGAGACCCUAGCCAAGCUGAAGGAUUUAACUAACAGUGAUGUCAAUGAUAUGGAAGUGAACCUGAUAAAAGCAAUGUUAUGUAGGAACUGAGCUACAUUAUAAAACUAAUCUCUC